GACGGAGUCUCGCUCUGUCGCCCAGACUGGAGUGCAGUGGCGCAAUCUCGGCUCACUGCAAGCUCUGUCUUCCGGGUUCAUGCCAUUCUCCUGCCUCAGCCUCCUGAGUAGCUGGGACUACAGGCGCCCGCCAUUACGCCCGGCUAAUUUUAUUUUAUUUUAUUUUUAGUAGAGACAGGGUUUCACUGUGUUAGCCAGGAUGGUCUGUGUCUCCUGACCUCGUGAUCCACCCGCCUCGGCCUCCCAAAGUGCUGGGAUUACAAAAUGCGUGAGCCACCACGCCCGGCUGAUGGUUUUAUUAAUAUAAGGGACUUUAACCCUUUGCUCAGGACUUCUACUUGCUGCUGCCAUGUGAAGAAGGACAUAUUUGCUUCCCCUUUCACCAUGAUUCUUCUAUUGCAGAUGUGAAGUUUAGCAUUUCUUUGCUCACUCUUUUACUGGGAAACUCUUCUAGCGGAAAGCCUGUCAUCUGUUGUGAAGGAGAGCUGGUGUUGACUUGAAGCAACAGAGUUGGUGGUCCAGUGGCCAUUGUCCUGUGUUAGGAGCAGGUGGUCUCGCUAAGCUCCAUGUGUUUGGAAAUUUCUCUGACCAGUGCUUGUUCUGCUAAAGGAAGAAGAGCUCAAGCUGCACUCCUUGUUUCCAGGAUCCCAUCCAGAAUACAUUACCUUUAGUCAUCAUGUCUCCUGUGGCUCUUCUUGGCUGUGACAGUUUCUCAGCUUUCCCAGUUUUAAUGAACUUGCCAUUUUCAUCAGAUUGUACCAAGACCUACUAUCAAUAUGACUUAUGACUAGUGGUGCUGACCUUGAUCACCUGGCUGAGGUAGUUCUUGUCAGGCUUCUCCACUGUCGAGUUGCUCUCCCCAUCCCCCUUUUCCAUAUUGUACUCUUUGAAAGAAAGUCACUAUAUGCAGCCCUUCCUUAAAAAUAUUAAAAUGAACUAGCUUAAUUAAGUUCUUUCUUACA
rnacentral:lncRNA from 1 species